rnacentral:sRNA from 1 species
CCAUUAACUUUAUUAGAUCGCACGCUUAUCAAAACGAUUCGCCGGGUGCUCUGCUGCGAAGCAGAGUUGGCAAGUCGGAUGAGCGGAGGCCUAAC